rnacentral:lncRNA from 10 species
GGGGCGGGCACCCGGAGGCGGCCCAGGCGGGGGUCUCCCCCGGGGCCUGGGGCGGGCCGAAGAUGUCCAGGCCUGGCCGGAGCCGCCUCCUGAUUGACGAGGCCCGCAUGGGAGUGCGGACGUGCAGCACAGAUUUGCGGGUCUCCUGGGCCUCUUGGGCGGUGAUCAGCGCGGACCUUGGGCCAACCGGGGAAGCAGGCCGGAGCACUACCCCCCACCCCCAUUUUAGAACAUCCUUCUGAGGGCUUCGCUGACCUCGGCUUGAACUCCUUCAGAGCCGGAGAGAUCACUCCUUCCACCACCGAGGGAGAGGAGGCAAAAUGAAUUUGCCAGCUUUGAAUUCAUUCUCAAGGCUCCGCUAGUCUCACAGCCAGUGAACUCAGUCUGGAAUUCCUGAAAGCUCAGAAAACUGCUGCUUAGGUGGCAGCUGAGCAUCCCUGGAGAGGGUGGGUGGUAUGAAAGCACUUCCAGACCUCUAGGGACACCAGGGAGUCAUGGUCCCAGCACAUUGCUGUGUGAUUGAGCCCCUCCUCAGCCUGUGGGUGGCCUAAGUUCACAGGGAGGUAAUGGGGUAGAUUGGAUACCUCUGGGGUCUUGGAAGAAGCUAUGACUUAUUUACUGUCUACUAUGUGAAAUGACUGGACUCUUCUAUGGACCCAGUGGAGCUCAGACAAGGGUCCAGGCCCUGACACUGCCCCAGAGCAGGGGUGCCAGCACCUAUGAGGAUGCCAAGCUCAGGUCAUCGCCCUGCGGUGUCUCAGCCAACUGGGCCUCGAACAGCCCCAUAAACUUGGAC